GAAGCCACCGGACGGUGAAGUUAACCACUCUAACGACAAGUAUGAAUUUAAUUUGCUAGAUGGCUCCACUAUACAGCGGCUUCUGGAAAAUCCUGAUGACGUCAUAAAGUGGGUGUGGUAUCAAUGCACAGCAGUGACAGCGCAGAUGGAGUAGUUACUAUUACGACGUGGAAGACAUUUGAGAAUCUACCUGAACAAUGAGUGAUGACUGUGGUGGCGGCGGCGGCGAUGGAGGUGGCGGUGGCGAUGGAGGUGGCGGAUGUGAUAGCUCAUAUCACUGUGACUCCAGCCACAAUGAUUCUAGUCACCAUGACUCCAGCCACAACGAUUCUAGUCACCAUGACUCCUGUCACAAUGAUUUCAGUCACCGUGACUCCAGCAAACACGAUUCCAGCCACCGUGAUUCCAGCGACUACGGCUUCAACCAUGACUACUCAUCACAUGACACUGGAGGAGAUGAUGGUGGCGACAGUGGCUCAAAAACAAAGGAGAAAAGGCGGAAGAGAGAAGUACUCCACCAAGAACAGGAUUGUUGCGUUGUCCUAUGAAGUUGUCUGUACUGUGUGUCAUCUCAUAAUCACGAUCAAGAAAUAACAAGUUCUUUGCUGAAAAUACAGCUUUUGCCAGUAAUGCAAUGCUUGAAGCAUUCACCUAACCUAACCUAAUAUUAAGAGGACAAAAUCUACUUCUGUUCACAACUACCCUGCAGAUGUGAGGUAGAAAGAGUACCAUACUUGUCAUGUGGUCAUGGAAAUGCAAAAACACAAAUUUCAGUGUAAUAAUUCUGUAAAAAUAGUAAGUUCUUGUGUAAUAUAAUGUUUUGAACAUGCUUAUCAUACUAGAGCAGCACAUGUGCCAACUAAAUGUUGAGAAUAUCCCUUGAUAUCUUGCAAUAUUUAUAAGCACUACAUUUUCACAUGAACCACAAACAAAAUGUAGCUACAAGAAUCACCGCUACAUAGUCUAACCCAGUGGUAUUCAACCUUUUUUGUUCGCGUACCAACAAAGUUGUUGGUGUAUAAUUCACGUUAUACAUAGUAUAUAAUCUACAUCUAAAAUAAAUUAAAAAAAUUACAUCCAAAAUAAUGUAUUAAAUAAUAAGUUUUAAAUGAGAAAAAGGAGAAUCAAGCUAUUAAAUAACAAAUAUAUUAUUGCCAAUGAUAUAAAAAUUAAUAAAGGAACAAAGGUAUUUUAGCAAAGCAAAAUUAUGUGUUUAAAUCCUGCCUAUUCAGUCAGGUUCCAAAGCACUAUGUGGAAUAAAAUGAAACGAGCCGCCCAGAUAAUCACAAAGGAGAGCGAGAGAGAGAGAAAAUUGCGCUCUCCCAAAUCGAAUGUCCUUACGUCCGGUUCUCCUGUGGCUAACCCUAAAUCUGGCCCUGAUUAUUCAGUGUUUAUCGUAAAAUAAUAUUAUUUUUUUAAAAAUUUCAUGUACCCCAGGUUGAAUACCACUGGUCUAACCCAUCCAGUAUGGAUACAGACUUGGUGCACGUGCACAAAUCGUGUUCCCACAAUCUACUAUGACAGAACUGCUGACAAUGAUUGAAUUCCUUGCGAAGAAAAACUAAACUGUAAAAAGUCUACGAGUGACUUCAUUCUACAGAGAUGCAUACAUGUGCACCGGCAGUUUCAGAAUGUAGGUGAAGCACUUUAAAGACAGAAACAUUGACAUCGCCAGUCAGCCGAGCUGUGAUUCACCAAGAAGUGUCGUAACUGCUUGCAACAAGCACAAAUUUCAUGUGUUCAUCAGAUACGACCAAAAGGUGACAGGAAAACUGUACAGCAGCCUGGCAUAGGACACUUUUGCCAUUUUGCAAUGCGGGAGGUGACUCCAAUUUCGGAACAUCAGGAAGUCUGUUUCCAUCAGGUUACCUGCUUGCUUACCGAGUAACAACGGAAGACAUGCAUCCUAUGUCAUCACAGUUGAAUGCUGCCAAGUGUAACGACUUGUUCAUCAACGUCAUAUCUGGUGAUGAUACUUCAUUCCACCAUUUUGAACCACAAACAAAAUUAGAGCUUACUCAUCGCCCUGAUGAUAGAAACAGCAAGCACCUCUGAAACAUCGGUAAACUUCUACCAGACUGUGUGGUGCAACCACCCAGAUGACAUCUGUCUCCUUACUUACUGCCAUGAGAAAGAAGUCUCACAAAAUUAAAGGACAUGAACUGGCUUCGUACGACAUCUCCAAAAGACGAACAGUAACCUCAACUGGCAUAGAUUGUGGAGUACCGUGUGACAGACAAAUGACCUUAUAAUGUGCAUCUGACAUGGGAGAAGAUCAUGACCUCUGGUAUGACCUUUUUAAUAUCAUGCAUCCUGCAAAAGGUUUGUUCAGAAUUAAAAAAAAAAAAAACGCAUCCACUCACUGGGCUUUCAUUACGAGUUUUAUUCAACAUG